AGUGAACGCUGGCGGUAUGCCUAACACAUGCAAGUCGAACGGCAGCACAGUAAUAGCUUGCUCUUACGGGUGGCGAGUGGCGGACGGGUGAGGAAUACAUCGGAAUCUACUUUUUCGUGGGGGAUAACGUAGGGAAACUUACGCUAAUACCGCAUACGACCUACGGGUGAAAGCAGGGGAUCUUCGGACCUUGCGCGAUUGAAUGAGCCGAUGUCGGAUUAGCUAGUUGGCGUGGUAAAGGCCCACCAAGGCGACGAGCCGUAGCUGGCCUGUGAGGAUGAUCGGCCACACUGGAACUGAGACACGGUCCAGACUCCUACGGGAGGCAGCAGUGGGGAAUAUUGGACAAUGGGGGCAAGCCUGAUCCAGCCAUACCGCGUGGGUGAAGAAGGCCUUCGGGUUGUAAAGCCCUUUUGUUGGGAAAGAAAAGCAGCAGGUUAAGACCCCGCUGUUCUGACGGUACCCAAAGAAUAAGCACCGGCUAACUUCGUG
rnacentral:rRNA from 1 species